UACGGAAGGUCCGGGCGUUAUCCGGAUUUAUUGGGUUUAAAGGGAGCGUAGGCCGUCUGUUAAGCGUGUUGUGAAAUGUCGGGGCUCAACCUGGGCAUUGCAGCGCGAACUGGCAGACUUGAGUGCGCAGGAAGUAGGCGGAAUUCGUCGUGUAGCGGUGAAAUGCUUAGAUAUGACGAAGAACUCCGAUUGCGAAGGCAGCCUGCUGUAGCGUAACUGACGCUGAAGCUCGAAAGCGUGGGUAUCGAACAGG
rnacentral:ncRNA from 3 species